CCUUCGCGUGCGAGUCCAACUCAUACUUGACCGAUUUUUGUAGUUAUUACUAAAUUGCAAAAAACGCUGGCCGGGAUUUCGCACUUAUUUAAGAAAGUAUAGCGAAACCUCGACGUUUUGUUACAAGCUUCACUACUGUCAUGAACUGU